UACGAAGGGGGCUAGCGUUGUUCGGAAUUACUGGGCGUAAAGCGCACGUAGGCGGAUACUUAAGUUAGGGGUGAAAUCCCAGAGCUCAACUCUGGAACUGCCUUUAAUACUGGGUAUCUCGAGUCCGGAAGAGGUGAGUGGAAUUCCGAGUGUAGAGGUGAAAUGCGCAGAUAUCAGGAGGAACACCAAUGGCGAAGGCAGCUCGCUGGGACGGUACUGACGCUGAGACGCGAAAGCGUGGGGAGCAAACAGG
rnacentral:rRNA from 1 species